rnacentral:rRNA from 1 species
CUGAUAACCGAUAACCCACGAUUAACCCCACCCCUCCUAGCCAUACAGUCUAUAUACCGCCGUCGCCAGCUUACCUUGUGAAAGUAACAAAGUAAGCAAAAUAGUAUAAUACUAAAACGACAGGUCGAGGUGUAACUAAUGAAGGGGNAAAGAUGGGCUACAUUUUCUAACUUAGAAAAAACGGAUACACUAUGAAAACAGAAAUUAAAGGAGGAUUUAGCAGUAAGAUAAGAACAAAAUGCUUACCCGAAACUAACGCAAUGAAGUGCGC